CCUGGCUCUGCUAAUGACUCUGAACUCCAUUGAGGAUCCUGGCUCUGCUAAGGACUCUGCACUCUGCUUAGAAUCCUGGCUCCAAUGAGGGAUCCCAAGCUCUGGCCCUGGCUCUGACAUCUACUUCCAGUGACCUUGGACAAGUUGCUCCUUCCUUCUAGAGCUCAGUCUUCCAAGUCAGAAGACAGCAGGAGAUAAUAUCCACCAUUCUCUGGCUGCCUUGGAAUAUAAUGCUGCCUUUGUGGCCCCCAUCUCUGCUCUGCCUCCUGACACCAGGCCGACUUCUGACACACAAGCCUUCUGUCAAUGCCAGGGAGAAGAGUAGAGGGAUAAUGGUGCAUCUCUCAGGAGGUGGAAGCAAGAGAACGAGGAACUCGAGGUUAUUUUCAGCUGCAAGAUACUCCAGAAGAGGGCAUCAGAUUUCGUUACGGAUGGUUGUGAGCCACCAUGUGUCUGCUGGGACCUGAACCCGGGACCUUCGGAAGAGCAGUCAGCGCUCUCAACCACUGAGCCAUCUCGCCAGCCCCCUUUCUUUUGUUUUUAAUAACUUAAAUAAACAGGGUCUUACUAUGUAACCCAGACUGGCCUUAACACCAUGGAUGAUCCUCCUGCCUCAGCCUCCCAAGUAAUGGGGUUACAAGCACAAACCACCUUGUC
rnacentral:lncRNA from 1 species